CUUUGGAUGUUAAAACCUUUUGUUUUUGUUGUGUAUUUUGGUUCUAAUCCGCCAUCCCCUUCAUGCUGAUUGUGUUAGAUGUAGUUAAUCCUAGCUGAGAUUAACUGUGGUGAUAUUUCUCUGUAUUUUUCUUAGACUACAUUUUUUAGAAAUCACUGAAACAACUUGCUAUAUUUUGCUUAGGCUAAAUAUCGAGAAAUUACUCACAGAAAAAUGUCCGUAAUUUAUGACCAGAGAAGAGUUUGAAAUAAUUUUAUCCGAUUCGAAGUAAAAUAUCAGCAACUUAGAACAAGUAAUUUUAGUGUGAUGUGGAUGAAGCAUCUAGCAAUUGUACAAAUUAAUGGAGGGUAAUAAUAGUAAGUCCACGCCCAUGUAGUCAGAUCAAUUUGCUAUUGAAGAGUGACACUGUUGAAUUAAGAGAUCAUUUUCCUUGUGCUACUAUACAUGAACAUGACCAAGAUAACAAGCAGUGUCUCUCAGAUUGUUGCUUCCCACAGAUAUGCAGAAGAACAAUCGGCACAGUUGACAUAUAUAUGUGCACAGAUAGGAAAUGUCCCCUAACUUAAGUACCUUUCAGAUCCAAUGUGUAUGGUACGCAUCUGCUCCAGGCCACCUUCAGGGUUUUUGUUUUUGCAAUGGUGAAACUGUGGCAGCGUAUCAACAACGACAUUUAUAUUUGUUGUUGCCUGUUCUUCAGAGAAAAUGGGAAGCAAUCUAUAUUACAAGUUGGUUACUGAAAUUCCAUGUGGAACAUAAAUAGCUUUGCAUGUAAGAAUUUUUCAGAUGUUGUUUAGCAUUGCUAUGAAUAGUCUGUUUCCUAAAAUCAUGAGUUCUUGUUACUUGACAAAACUUUGGCAUUCAUGCUCAUGUACACAAGGAUAAUAAUGGAUAAAGUAUACUAAGUAAAUGGACAAGGUUAUCAUUAUAUAUUGCAUAGACAAAUAUUUGUAACAAUGCGCACCACCAAUGCAGUUCCACUAUUUUGCUUAUAAUUGAGUACUUACAGAGCUAUAACCUGCUGUCUUGCUAGAACAGAGGAACUCCCCUGGAAGAGUAUUGGCAAGCACAAGGUCCUGCAAAAAGAAACCGUGUGCCAAUUUAGAGGAUAUUUGUUAAUUAUUCCUACAAAACUGGAGCUAAUAAACUCCACUGCUACAUAUUCACUGUACUCUUACCACAAAUGUUUUAUAUGGUGUCGCAUUUUAUAACACAACUGAUGAGUGCAACUCUGUUCCAUCAACCAGAGCUAUCUACAGAUUCUCAAUCCUCUCAACCCAUGGGAGCAGACAUCACUUCGCGAUUAAAUAAUGGAUGAGAAAUGCCUUUAUUCAUGUGCUAUAUGAAACUGGUUACAUUAUUGUAGACUUUUGGUACAGCUUGUACAACUAGUUGCCGUUGUGUUGCAGCUAGCGCCUCUUGUCCUUUUUCUUUUUUCUGUAACAUGCACAAGAGUGUUGUUAGUUUCGUGAGUGUGACUACUGGCCUGGGAGACCGACGAAGUGAAAGAGGGCGUUGGCUGCUUCCUGAAUAUUGAUGUCUAGUUUCUCAUCCUGUACAAUGGUUUAGCUUCUUUUGAUUGUAGCCUGGUUUCUAUUUUGCUUGUUGUAAGCUGGCCCAGUUUGGGAAUUCCACAAAACUAUUUGUACUAGUAUAUUUCUGAGUUGGAUGAAGCUGGAAGCAUUAACACAAA